rnacentral:rRNA from 1 species
AACGAACGCUGGCGGCAUGCCUAACACAUGCAAGUCGAACGAGACCUUCGGGUCUAGUGGCGCACGGGUGCGUAACGCGUGGGAACCUGCACUUAGGUUCGGAAUAACUCCCCGAAAGGGGUGCUAAUACCGGAUAAUGUCAUCGGACCAAAGAUUUAUCGCUUUUGGAUGGGCGCGCGUUGGAUUAGCUAGUUGGUAGGGUAAAAGCCUGCCAAGGCGACGAUCCAUAGCUGGUCUGAGAGGAUGAUCAGCCGCACUGGGACUGAGACACGGCCCAGACUCCUACGGGAGGCAGCAGUGGAGAAUAUAGGACAAUGGGCGAUAGCCUGGUCAAGCAGUGCCGCGUGAGUGAUGAAUGCCUUAGGGUUGUAAAGCUCUUUUACCCGGGAUGAUAAUGACAGUACCGGGAAAAUAAGCUCCGGCUAACUCCGUG